AAGAUGAGAUUUGUUAGAAUUGGUCAAUCUAUUAGAAUAGCUUGAAGUUAGUCAUGCCAUAAGAAUAGGCUUACUUCGUUAGUUUCCUAUGAAAUCGGAUCUAUUAGUUAAUCUUUUGCCAAUAUAAAUAGAAUAUGUCCUCAAUAGUGUGAGGCACAGUUUUGCAUAAACUUGAUAUCACAAAAUUAA